rnacentral:tRNA from 1 species
GGGGUUGUGACUCAGUGGUAGAGUGCUUACUUAGCAUGCAUAAGGCACUGGGUUCGAUCCCCAGCACCA